UGGACGAGAGUCUGAACCAGCCAAGUAGCGUGAAGGAUGACUGCCUAUGGGUUGUAAACUUCUUUUAUACGGGAAUAAGUGAGGCACGUGUGCCUUUUUGUAUGUACCGUAUGAAUAAGGAUCGGCUAACUCCGUGCCAGCAGCCGCGGUAAUACGGAGGAUCCGAGCGUUAUCCGGAUUUAUUGGGUUUAAAGGGAGCGUAGGCGGACGCUUAAGUCAGUUGUGAAAGUUUGCGGCUCAACCGUAAAAUUGCAGUUGAUACUGGGUGUCUUGAGUACAGUAGAGGCAGGCGGAAUUCGUGGUGUAGCGGUGAAAUGCUUAGAUAUCACGAAGAACUCCGAUUGCGAAGGCAGCUUGCUGGACUGUAGCUGACGCUGAUGCUCGGAAGUGUGGGUAUCAAACAGGAUUAGAUACCCUGGUAGUCCACACCGUAAACGAUGAAUACUCGCUGUUUGCGAUAUA
rnacentral:rRNA from 1 species